ensembl:lncRNA
UGGACGGCUAGCAUGCUGGACCCCAAGCUGAGUUCCUACUUCCACCGUACCAAAGGAGAAGUCUGGGUCUGAAAGGAAAGCCAGCUCCUGCCCUGGCGAGUGCCCAAUUUUCUCUCUACCAGUCCAUGUCUGGAAUUGUUCCCUCAGCAGGGCUAAAAAGAGCAGCCUUGAUCCUUAACAUGUAUUUCCUGUUAUUUCAUGCUUUGAAAAGCUAACCCUGAAUUGAGAUCCUGAGAGGGACCCCAGGCCAUUUCUCUGACAGUAAAAUGUCCUGAUGGGCUCUGCGUAUGUUUAUGGAUCCUGGGAAAGUACUCCCUGUGCAAGGGCUGCAGAGCUGGCCUUAUGGAUUUCCUCUGCCCAGAAGCACUAACCUAAGAGCUCACUGCCCCCUCCAUCUGGACAAGACUUAGAUGCUUGAGCUCAAAGUGUAAACCAGCUUGUGUCUCCUUCCCUGAGCCACUGGGGAGGAUGGCCUCUUCUUCAUUCCAGCUCAGGCAGACAGGAGUAUAUUGAGUAAGCACGACUGGGACCCUAUUUGGAGAUCUGUCGCCUGAGAGAACUUUGCUUAUGAAGCGCUGCUUGGCUUCCUAUCCCAGCGGAUUGCAUCGUCCACAACUUUUCCACCACCACCUUGUGGCCAGCACUGUUAGCACACCUGAGACAGAUUUAGGCCUCCCUCAAGGGACCAGAGAGAGGAACAGCUUUGAUGCUCAUAGGCAUCGAGACUUGCAAAUGGUCUUGGCCCACAUUUGUUGGCCUGAGGUCUUUAGUUUAAGAAUGGAGAGGUGUAAGUCAGUCAGUGCAGACCACCACGGGACCCAGAAGCUGAGAAGGGCACCCAGGUUGAAACCUGCCCCCGGUCUAUGCAGAGCCCCAGGUGUCCUUGGAGCCCUGUCCCUGAAAGGUGAGUGAUGUAGCAGGCAGUAGUGCCAUUACUGGGAGAGAGGAGGGGAACGCUAGCAGCAUCUCUGUGUCCGUGCCCCCGUUUCCCCUUCUCCCCUUGGCUCCACUGGGCCUGAAAGAGUGUGGUGGGUGCUGUGCAGCCCUCAACUGGGAGUGAGCUUCUUCAUGGCAUGUGGGCAAAGAAGCUGUGCUCUUGGGGUCACUGGCACCCCUUCCAGCCUUGGGAUGGGGGAAGUUCAGCAGAUGUUAAGAGGAGUAGUGUGGGGAGGCAACAGGGUGAAAUGCACAGUGUGGCUUUUGUGGCUCCUUCUGCGUUAGAGAGCUGUGUGCGGGGAGCUUUGUGCUUCCUCACAGCUUUGCACUCCUGUCCCUGCUUGGCGGGCCCUGGAUGGCAAAGUGCGGAGUAGCACUUCUCCCAAUUGUCUGAGUAAUAGGGUGAGUUGUGGGGGCUGGCAAGAGCUAGGGGUUCCCGAGAAACCAAUUCCUCAGCACUGGGUGGAUCUCCGGCAUUGGCAUCCCCACUAAGUCCGCGGAAGACCGAGGACCACAGGUGGGCAGUCCCUGAAUGGAGUCAGGAGGCUGGUGCACAGCCCGUGUACCACUCACGGGAGCGAGAACAGCUUUCCAGUCCUGGACAGGCCCUUCUCCCACUGCACUCUGAGCGCGAGGAACAGGUGGACUGGGUGCUGGCACGAUGAGGAAGGGCCGAGCCCAGCCAAGGUCACCCACCGCUCUGGGCCCAGGGGUCCGGCUGGGACUGCCCGCCAGGACCCGCCCCCUCCGGGCUCCGCCCCCCCGGUCGCUGCAGACCAAUGGCGCAGAGGCGGAAGUGGGGCCGCCAAUGAGCGGCGUGAGGGGUCGGGGGCGUGCCCAAGAGGCCCUUUCCCCAAUGGGGACUGGCUCCGGAGACCGGCGCUAUCCAACUAAGUCCCCGGGAAAGAGAGGUCAGGGCGAGCGUCUCCAAUCAGCGCGGCCGGCCGUUCUCCCCUGUCGUAGGUGGGGCCGCCGG